CCCCUCGCAAUCGGGCGAGGGAGGGUCUAUAUCCGGCCUGCUCGCCUUCGGGCGGCUAUGGCGAUAAACGGCGUGUGGAAUAAGCGUUGCGGACCCGGGGGCAGUGCCCGGCGUCUCCACCAGUUUUGGCCCAGGCCUCGGCCUGUGGCUCGCAUGGGGACGAAACAGGCUCGACGCGCGCGGUAAAGACCCGUCUUUUGCCCGGCAUUGUACCACCGUCAUCGGGCUAUAUCACAAGUGCCAACGAUAACAGCCGCGAGGCUGUGGCGCUCGCUGCCUAAAUAGGUAAGCGCGGUCCGGGGGGAACCGGGCAACAGAAUCCCCCCACU
rnacentral:tmRNA from 1 species